rfam:Camelus ferus unplaced genomic scaffold scaffold1413, whole genome shotgun sequence.
GAGGGUGUAGCUCAAAGUGCUAGAGUGCAUGCUUUGCAUGCACGAGGUCUUGGGUUCAAUCCCUAGUACCUCCU